GGAAAGUUGAAAAUGAUUUAUGAAUGUUGUGUGGAGAGCUUGGAUAAAUUGGGACCAAUGUGAUGGAAAGACUCCUUUUUGGAGACUGUGUGUGAGAUGCAAAUGAGCAUUGAUGAAUGAUUGCCUGAAUGAAAGGAAAAUACAGGUUGAAUGGUUGAAGUUGUUGGGGACUACUAUGGAAAAUUAGUAGAGCAACUUUGAAGAAAGAGUGAUUUUGAAUAAGUUAAAUGCUAAGAGAGAGAGAGAAAAAAAGUUGUUUUUGGAUUGAUAAUUAACUAGAGGAAAAAACUGAAGAACCAGUAACACAUGCAGAACAUGUGUGAACUGGGAAAUUGAGAAGCGUUUUGGAAAGAAAGUCAAAUUAAAUGAUAGAAUCAUAUGUAGUAAAGAACACAUCCUCCCAAAAUGUUUGUCAAGGUGUGAGGCAUGGGCAUUGCCAAGCCUCAGAAGGAGGGAGGGAGUAGGACAGAUAGUGAAAGAUAGUAAUAAUACAACACUUUACGACAUAUGGAUUCUCUAACACAUUUGGCGUCAUACCAUUAAGUUAAAAUUUUCUCAAGCUUUUCAAACUUUUGCUUGAAGCAAUCGGAAGAUGAUUGAAAAGUGACUAAAUAAGCUAUGAGGAAGUGGUGUAGCUGUUAAGGGCACGCGCUUUAUGCGCUUCCCUGGCUAAUCAACACUUGUUUGAAUGAAAAGGAGGAGGGGGAAUUGGCUGGGCUUCCUGAAAAACUGUGGACAAAGGGCCCAUCUGAUGUAGGACUUUUACUGUCCAUUACCCCAGUACAAAUCCAAUCAAGAUCAGAGAAUCUCCUUUAAAACAGGAGGCAAUAAAUGGGAUAGCCCCUGUCAUAAAUGGUCUUUGGUUAGGAGGAAUCAUUAGGAAGUGCUCAAACUCUUCCUGUAAACACUCCUAUUUGCCCAUUUCAAAA